CCCUUAGAUGUUCUGGGCCGCACGCGCGCUACACUGACGAAUGCAACGAGCUUAUAACCUUGGCCGAAAGGUCUGGGUAAUCUCCAAAUUUCGUCGUGAUGGGGAUAGAUUAUUGCAAUUAUUAAUCUUCAACGAGGAAUGCCUAGUAAGCGCAAGUCAUCAGCUUGCGUUGAUUACGUCCCUGCCCUUUGUACACACCGCCCGUCGCUCCUACCGAUUGAAUGGUACGGUGAAGCGUUCGGACCGUGGCCUUUGGACGGUUCGCCGUCUGUUGGCUGCGGGAAGUUCGUUAAACCUUAUCAUUUAGAGGAAGGAGAAGUCGUAACA
rnacentral:rRNA from 1 species